AGAGUUUGAUCAUGGCUCAGAUUGAACGCUGGCGGCAGGCCUAACACAUGCAAGUCGAGCGGUAACACAGGGAGCUUGCUCCUGGGUGACGAGCGGCGGACGGGUGAGUAAUGUCUGGGAAACUGCCCGAUGGAGGGGGAUAACUACUGGAAACGGUAGCUAAUACCGCAUAACGUCGCAAGACCAAAGAGGGGGACCUUCGGUCCUUGCGCUAUCGGAUGAACCCAUAUGGGAUUAGCUAGUUGGUGAGGUAACGGCUCACCUAGGCGACGAUCCCUAGCUGGUCUGAGAGGAUGACCAGCCACACUGGAACUGAGACACGGUCCAGACUCCUACGGGAGGCAGCAGUGGGGAAUAUUGCACAAUGGGCGCAAGCCUGAUGCAGCCAUGCCGCGUGUAUGAAGAAGGCCUUCGGGUUGUAAAGUACUUUCAGCGAGGAGGAAGGCGUUGUGGUUAAUAACCGCAACGAUUGACGUUACUCGCAGAAGAAGCACCGGCUAACUCCGUGCCAGCCGCCGCGGUAAUUC
rnacentral:rRNA from 1 species